AUCUAAAAAGCCGAUGGUCUGAGGGGUGCAGGGCCAGAUCCCAGAAGGGGCACAACUUCUGUGAAAUUGCUUCUCAGUUCCCCUGUUUUUAAAAGAGGAGGUGGCAUCUAACAUAAAAGAAUGCAUGACUUGGCCAGGUGCAGUGGCUCACACCUGUAAUCUCAGCACUUUGGGAGGCCAAGGCGGGUGGAUCACCUGAGGUCAGAAGUUCAAGACCAGCCUGGACAAUGAGGUGACACCUCGUCUCUACUAAGAAUACAAAAAUUAGCUGGGCGUGGUGGCAUGCACGCACCUGUAGCCCCAGCUACUCAGGGGGUUGAGGCAGGAGGAUUGCUUGAGCCUGGGAGGUGGAGGUUUCAGCAAGCUGAGACUGCACUACUGCACUCCAGCCUGGGCAACAGAGUGAGCGAGAGCGAGAGGGAGAAGCAGAAGCAGAAGAAGAAGAAAAGGAAAGAAGAAAGAAGAAGAAGAGAAGAGAAUGCAUUACUUUACUCAUUGUGGAAUCUCAGCUGCAUUUGGGGAAUGGAGCCAGAAGAAACGUUUCCCCAUGCUUAGUGGUUCUCCUCUUCCUUUUCCUCUGGAAAGGAAUGGCAAGGUUUGCUUCUAUCUGCAUG
rnacentral:lncRNA from 10 species